GAGGGCACCUGGGAACUGUAGUUCCUCCCAGAGUUAUCCCCAGGGUACACGGUUCCCAAAUGCUUUUCUGUUCUAAACAGGAACUGUAGAGCAGGAGGCAGAUCCAGGUCAAAACCACUGCAUAGAGAGUGACAAGAAUGACUGAUCACCUGGAUUAUAGUCCAUGCAGUGGGGAAUGGUUAAAAACGGAGGAGUUAUCUGGUUUGUUCACUCUGCAAAGUAGGAGUAUGCCCAAUUUUUGAGAGAAGAAAUCUUUAACUGAACAGUGAUUUUAAAAGCGAGAGGCUACAGUGCAUCCCUGAGAUAGAAGUCUGAAUGAAGAUGGAGGAGCUGGCUGGUGUCCACUAAGCAGCGUAACCCACGUUUUUUCUACACUGAUUGAUUGUCCUGCUCUGUAGAGGCCUUGUGUAGUUUCUCCAGGCCCCUCCAGACUACCAACUAAGUAAAAAACAGAUAAUACUUUCAACAUCUUUAUAAACAAACAAUCUUCAGAUGAAUUCAGCAGAAAGAACAAAAAAACCAAAAAGGACCACAUAAGAGGAUCAAAGUCAACAAGCAUUUUCCACCUAGGUCAAAAGAAAAGAAUGUUGAAAUGUCAGUGUUAGUGGUCUUAGUACGUAUAAUAUACAAGAACUAAGGAAAACCAUUGACUUGGUAAAUCAUGACUCUCCCUGAAUGUGGUUUAGAAUUGAACCUGCAAUUCUGUAAUCUCUGUGUGAUGGAGAACACUCAUGUUCUUGAAAACUCUGCAGAUGAAUAUGCAGCUGGGCUCUUGGGGGGGGGGGAUGGAAAAUAAAGGGCACUAGUUCAGGUGCCUCCUUUCAUCCUGACUGUGGUUGUAUGCUCUCAUUGCUCCUUCAUUGCAACACCACAUUUUAGAAAUGCCAUCUAAUAUUUGCUUUCAUGCCCACCCCCUAUUUAUUUUUAAUGUUCCUUAAGGCCACUGAAAACUCCACAAAUGGGUAAACCUGAAUUUUUGCCUGUCAUGUAGCUGAUAAAGGUAUAAACUAGUCUCUGUCAAGAAAAACAAGAUGGCGACCCAAGGACCAUCAGAGCAUAAACCACACAGGAUAUGAGUCAGUGGUGCCAAACUAAGACUCUCUUAUGCACACACAGAAACAGAAGCAUGGAGGUAGAAAAAAAUUAUUUCUUCACAGAAGCCCUCAAAGGUUUCUUAGAAAGGGUUCUCUUGUUUGAAGACUCAAUAAAGUUUUGCUCUACCUCAAAACUUGACAUACUUAUGCAGAAAUGUUAUUUUUUUCUUUUCACCAUCCUAUUUAUUUUUUCGUAGCACUCGUAGGCACUGCUUUAACAUAGCCUUCCCUGUGCUUGAUCUGUUUUAUUAGAAACCGAUAUUCUAUUAUCAUUUGUUCUCAUCAGUGUCUCCAUUUUGCUGUUGAGUCUCCUGAUCCCUGCAUUACGUCCAGGAUUAUUUUGAUAUUACUGACAGAUUUUUGAAGGUUAGAAGUCAAAUUAAAGCAUUUGUCUUUCAACA